rnacentral:rRNA from 1 species
UACGGGGGGAGCAAGCGUUGUUCGGAAUUACUGGGCGUAAAGCGCACGUAGGCGGCUUUGUAAGUUAGAGGUGAAAGCCCGGAGCUCAACUCCGGAAUUGCCUUUAAGACUGCAUCGCUUGAAUCCGGGAGAGGUGAGUGGAAUUCCGAGUGUAGAGGUGAAAUUCGUAGAUAUUCGGAAGAACACCAGUGGCGAAGGCGGCUCACUGGACCGGUAUUGACGCUGAGGUGCGAAAGCGUGGGGAGCAAACAGG